UAAUCUAUUGUUUCAUUCCUAAGUGGCAUCAACCUUUUGACUUCACCAGAUUUUAAGAUCAUAAAAAAUCAUUACAACCCUCUAGGCAGGUUCCUUGCCGGAGCACUGCUUGGUUGUACUUCCAAAACACAAAGAGCUGUUGCAGUAGGUGUCUCAGAGGGGCUCUAUUCAAUUUCCAGGAGAUCCUGUGAGGGUAAAUUCACUGCUGCCUGCAAAGCCUGGAUGGGGUGCGAUUGGGGUACUUCAAGAAGGUCACUCAAAUCAUGAUCAUACUCUGCCUCAAAAAAAAAAAAAAAAGUAAGACAAUGGUGACGCAAGUAAAGCCUCAACAAGGCAGCACCGUGUGAGCCCUGUGUAUAAUAAAACAACAUAACUCUCAGAAUGUCUACCCAUCUCUGCAGAUGACAGAUUUUCGGAUUUAGAAGAGUCAUAUAUCAAAAAUAAGAUCCCUCCUCUAAAGUCCAACCUUGCAGGGCUGAGAAAAUACAGCUCUGCUGGGGAUUUUGCAAGGGCCAAGAAGUUAGAAAAUUACUUCAUUUUGUGAUGGCUUUGUUUGGGACACCUAAUCUCUGAAAAUUGCAUAAAACUGCAUUAAACACGCUUUGCACACUGUACUGAAUAUCCAUCAAAUGAUAACAGCUGUCAUCAUACUGCCCUGGUCUGAAUUUGAACCUCAAAACGCUCGGUGAAAUAGUGUUUUAUCAGAGAUAUAUCUACAGAAUACUCCAGACAGAGAA